rnacentral:rRNA from 1 species
GGAAAUCUCACCAGGCCCGGACACUGGAAGGAUUGACAGAUUGAGAGCUCUUUCUCGAUUCAGUGGGUGGUGGUGCAUGGCCGUUCUUAGUUGGUGGAGUGAUUUGUCUGGUUAAUUCCGAUAACGAACGAGACUCUGUCCUACUAAAUAGGUUUGCCGUCUCUUUUGCGGUAAACAUUCUUCUUAGAGGGACUGGCGGCGUCUAGCCGCACGAGAUUGAGCAAUAA